CCACUUGUUCGUCGAACCAGUCGUUACCGACAAUACCUCGACGCCGACUUAUCACUUAUGGAAAGCCCAUCUCCUACCGGUCAAACCCGUCUCCGGAUAACACCAGGCGACCACGAAACCGGCCGCCUCGGAACAUCACUAUAUUACCCGCCUGUGGUUGGCGCCUGACGAGGCCCCACGGGAGAAGUGUCGGAUACGAAGGUAGAGAAAGAAGGUGCUUGCAAUCUUCUUCCGCGAGCUCAAUUCCUCGACGUUGCGGUCCUCAGGUCCCCUGCAGACCCUGCACUUUACAGAGAGAGAAAGAGAGAGGUGGGGUUCGGAUGCUGCAGCUACUGUUCGCGACGGCGUUCUGGGCGUUGCCGCUGACGCUGUACGUGCCGCUGAUACGGAGGCUGAACCCGUUCGUGGAGGCGUUGGAGGUGUUCUUCAGGGAGGCCGCCAUGUUUUCGCGGCGCGCGUACCGGCGGAUCCGGCUCGGGGUCCGCCGGAUCCUCGCCGCCGCCACCUCCCGUUCGUAGAUCUUAUCACUCUCCUUCCUUCUCGUGCUUUUGGGGAGGUUCGUUUGGACCCAUAGAUAAGACAGAAUACUAAAUCUAUGGAUUCUUCCUGGUUGUAUAUAUGAUACAGUUUUGGUUAUUAGAUAUCUGCGAAAUGAGGACAUAAAACCGUGUCAAUUUUCUUAAA